rnacentral:lncRNA from 1 species
UGAGGUCAGCUUGGGAUUGGAUAAGCUUUUCCCUUUGGUUGGAGCUUUUUAUACAUUUAUCACUCUGAUCACACAGAGUCCUUGAGUGGAGGAAAGUGCUGUGGCCUAAAAUUUCACCAUGUUUUCCAUAUUUAUGUCACCAAACUACGUGGUGGCCACACAAAUUGGGACCUCCUGUUUAGCCCGUGGGAACUGUUGGCAGUGGGUGUAAAAUCAACUGAUGUUGAAGCUCUUUAUUGUGAAAUAAACAACUUCUGUUAAGCUUUGCUGACAUCUUCAUUUAAUGAGGCCAAACAAAGGGAGUAAGGGAGUGAUCAGUGAGAAAAACAGGCUGGCACUUGGGCACAGAUUUCUUUCUUUCUAUAAUUUUAAAGCAAGUUUUAGUGAAAUUUGAUGCAAUGCUAUGGUAAACUUACACCAUUAAUGGAUGCGGUUCUGGUCUAAAAUUAUUUUUUUUAUGUUGUUCUUUCUGGAUAGUUCAGCUGCUGCAGUCUUCCUACUUCCUGCUGCUGCUGCUGUAAACAAAAUAAUCCUUCUAGACGUUCGAAUAGCAAGUUUCUCUUUGGAAAAACUUUCACAAACCUCGCUUGACGGGAAAAGUGAAAGCAAAAUUAAAACGUCAAAAGCUCAAAAAUUUACCAAGAAUCAUUUUCAAAAUGCAAAAUGUUAGAAUUUAAACAUCCAUUUAAAAAUGUGACUAACAGCAUUUCCGAAGUGAAAUUUUGUGAUUGAUUGUAAUUUUAAAAACUCGAUGGCUGAUCAGCCUGAUUGACCUAGGAGAGGUGGUCAUGAUAUCUUCAUUAGUCUGUAGCCAUUGUAUCUAUCAUAGCAGUGACAAGAUGUCAGAAAGAACAAGCCUGUGAUAAAUAUAAGCGGAGGUGCAUCACACUGGCCUCUCUGGACAUGACUAAUGAAAGUCCAGGUGUCCAAAGGAAAAGGUUCAGCUGUGGAAAACAGAGAGCUGACGUCAGGACUGUGACACAGGAAACAAACCUGGUGGUUGGAGGUGAUGCUUUGAAUGUGUAGGGCAGGAAACAAAAGUGGAUCAAUCACACCCAAAGCUGAAAUAUAAUUCUUAUUUUUCCACUUAUGGUGCAGAUUUUAACCUGGGGUAACCUUAAAUGUCAAUGCAGUUUCAUACUGCAAUUACCCUGAUGGUGCAUUUAGAUAUUAAUGGCUUUCUCUCAUGUCACUGUUGAUGUCACUUCCUGUCACUUGCCUCAGGAUGGAGCUCCACAGUGGUGAUUGCCACCUAUGUUCGCUCCCUAGCCAGCAGUCAGUCUGUCAUGCAGGGUGUCACAGGGUAAUUUGUUUCUGCCAGAAGCUCAGAAAUAGUUUCCUAACUCCUCAUGGAGUUGUUCAAGCAGGCGUGCCGCCGGACGGGAUGUGCUCUUGUUGUGAUUACCUGCCUCUGCAGAGGAAGAGCUUUCUCUGAGGACCUAUGGAAAAAUGCUGCUGUCUGCCAAGCGCCAUGAUUAGCGCCCCGGCCAGUUCCUGGGUCAGUUCAGAGGGCAGAAGUGUCUAGACCAGUAAGGGGAUUUCCAAACACUCCUGCUCUGAGCAGUAAUGGCUGCCUACAGUGGAGCUUUAACUCUCAGAGCCCACAUUCCAGUUUGGAGGGUUGUCAGCAUUACUCCCCUCAGUGUGUGUGUGUGUGUGUGUGUGUGUGUGUGUAUGUAUGGGGGGAGUAAGAUCAGACUUAGGUUUAACAUAUGGUUUGAAUAUUGUAUAGUUAAUGGCCUCCAUUUUUCAUUGAGUUAAGUCAUUUGAUGUGAGUGGAUCAAGAGAUAGGAGGGUGGGAACUGAUGUGGUGAUAAAUAUCUUGUGUUUAAUUUAUGAACAAUUAAGUCCAGCGCUAAAAUGCAAUACUUCAUUCAUAGACUUAACUGGUGGACUGAUUGAUUGAUUAGCAUUGUACAGUGGAAGGAGUCCUACACCCCAGUGGAGGAGCUCUCAGCUCGCUGCCAGCUCUCCUACAAUGGGCUCUGCAUUACAAACUCACUGCUGGCGUUUGCCAGAAAAAGCACAACCGGUUAAUGGUUCGGAACUCUGGCUUAUCUUGGCCAUCGACGCAACAAAAGCUAUAAUUAUCUGCAAAAUAAACUCGCUUCCUUGAUUGUUAGACAAAUAAUGCAUUAAACAGUUCCAGAUAAACUUUGUUUUCCACUGUGUUGCCAGCCUCUGAGGAGAAUGAGAGGCAUUCAGGCCACCAAUACUAGAAGACCAUUCCCCUUGAGUAACCCAGAAAGUUCUUUGGAUCCACUACUUCAUAAAUUAUGAACACCUUAUGUAACCAAUUAUUGUUUGAAAGCUCUGUUUUAUUCUCUGUACAAAGAUGAGAAUGUGUAACACUGAGCUGAUUGAGUUUUCUUGUGUAUGUCAGCAUUGUGUGUCUUCCAAAGCCCUCUUUAUAUAGGCCCAGACAUUAUUUUUGGCAUUUUAUUCUGACAUGAACCUCCCACUCCUCCCACUCGCUCUGGCCCACCUCCAUGAGGGCCAAGGAAGCCUGGCACUCUCCUGACGCUCUCAGUCAGUCCUGGGCAGCUGGGAUCUGGGGGAGCUCCCUACAGUUCUGCAGUGUGCUGGCAGCCCCCUUUCUCCCACCCCCACCUCUCUUAAUUCUGCCUUUUUACUUGCAGCCAGCUUCAGAAUACAAUACAGAGGAGGCCUGUGCUGUUCUGUAAACACAGACACACACUUUUGGGCGUACACACACAUCCACACUUUUCGAAGCCAUUGAAAGAGACAAGAGCAAAGGCGGAAAGAAGAGCAGACGCCUCUCAGAUGCCGGGCUUGGCUUGGUGCGCCUCUUGACACAGACGGCCGCACACAAGAUAACUGUUGUUUAUUGUUUAUGGAAGGACCCUCUGCCACACUCCAUGCUCUCUUCAUCUGGAGGCUCCUAAAGGGCCACAGCCAAGAGCCACAGGGGAAAAGUAAAACGGAGCUGACUGUAUCUACUGUUUGUGUGAAAGCGUGUCUGUGUUUGUCUGUGUGUGUACGCUCUGGCGUUUCCAUGUACAGUUAGAUUGUUCACUUCUUAAAUGAUCUUUGCUAUAUCUAUUGUUCUGUUGCUUCCGAAACUGAGUGUGCGCUGUUUGCUCAGCUGGAGUUGGUUCAGGACGAAGAGGACGAGGCAGCCAUCUUGUUCCAUUCCGCCACAAUUAAGACAUUAGAGCAGGAGAUGUACACUUCCUCUUGUUUCUCACAGAAAAGAUACCCUGAACUGGUGAUGUUGCACUGCGUAAUCAAACAAAAUGUUCAUCUUGCUGAUGAAUGGAAGUCAUGAAGUUGUGUCGUGAAGUCUGUUAGAGGAAAGACUGCUUUCAAGAGGUAAAUGAACACCAUUGAAAUGCAAGGCAACAUGGAUGCUAAAAGAUUACAGUGUAUCAAAAUACUCUGUUUCACGGUCAUAAAUGUGAACAGAUAACAUGAGUGGUACACCUGCGCACCUAAAGAAAGGUACUGGAAUAUAACAAAAAAGGGGGCGUUGAUAUGAUCUCCUCUC